UUCUGCAUCACCACAAACUGCCACUCCUUUGGAAGCAGAAACCCGUUGUCUUUUGGCGGCUCUUCAGCACACUUGGGCAAGCGGAUAUUCAAGAGUUAUUUUCGAGGGUGAUUGUGAAGUCCUUAUUAAUAACUUAACGGGUAAUGAAGCAGCUCAUGUGCUUGCCAGAUUUGGAUGUAAUACUUGUAAUUUUUAUUCAGCUACUAUGAACCCACCACCAUGGUUGGAACAAAAACUCUGUACUGAUUAUCAAAGUUCAAUAUAAAUUAAUUUCGACGAAACAAAAAAAAACUACUUGCUAAUCAUCCGGUAUUUGGUCUACCUGAUACAAAUGUUUUCCUUGUUUAUGCGAAUAGCCUUCAACAUUACUUGAAAGGAAUCAUAAGAAAAAAAAAAAAAAACAAUUUCUUUCAAAACAUGAACGGAUUAACAAAAAUGAAAUUUUCAAUAGCUUCCGGAUGCAAAUUGGAGAAAAAGGGCUGAUUUUGUUUUGAGAUUUCCAGCUUCUCAAGCUCACCUGUCACCAAUGUAAUUAUUUUCACAACUUUUGUAUAAAUUUUAGAUUUUGAUUUUGGUCACUACUUUCCUUGA
rnacentral:lncRNA from 1 species